rnacentral:rRNA from 1 species
CCUACGGGUGGCAGCAGUGGGGGAUAUUGCUCAAUGGAGGAAACUCUGAUGCAGCGACGCCGCGUGAGGGAUGACGGUUUUCGGAUUGUAAACUUCUGUCUUUGGGGAAGAAAAUGACGGUAUCCAACGAGGAAGCUCCGGCUAACUACGUGCCAGCAGCCGCGGUAAUACGUAGGUAGCGAGCGUUGUCCGGAAUUACUGGGGGUAAAGAGAGCGUAGGCGGGCGAGAAAGUAGAAUGUAAAAUCUACUGGCUUAACAGAGAGCUGCGUUCAAAACUUUUUUUCUUGAGGAAAGUAGAGGCAGGUGGAAUUCUUAGUGUAGCGGUAAAAUGCGUAGAGAUUAAGAGGAACACCAGUGGCGAAGGCGACCUGCUGGAAUUUAACUGACGCUGAUGCGCGAAAGCGUGGGGAGCAAACAGGAUUAGAUACCCUUGUAGUC